CCUGCCCCUAGAGGCAUUGCUGUGGCUUCUGUGUUACAUGUGUGUCAGUAGGUGGCAGAGAAGAAAGAGCCUAUGUCUACACUGAGAGUUCUGAUCUGUGAAUUCUGAAUGAUUAGUAGUCUAACAUU